UAGUUUAGUCAUAUGAGUGAAAUUGAGUCCUUAUGUGAGAGGAUUGAGUCCAUGUGUUUAAGAUUGAGUCCUUAUAAUUGAGUGCCAUUAAGAAGGAUUCCUAAUGCCGUGAAGAUCAUCACUCAUCAUGUGGAGAAGUUCAACCAUGAAGAUCUCUCACAUGUGGAAGAAAUUCAGAGUUCAGAUCCAGUUGAAAUCCGUGAUAGAUUGAA
rnacentral:lncRNA from 1 species